GAUGAACGCUGGCGGCGUGCCUAAUACAUGCAAGUCGAGCGAACAGACGAGGAGCUUGCUCCUCUGACGUUAGCGGCAGACGGGUGAGUAACACGUGGAUAACCUACCUAUAAUACUGGGAUAACUGCGGGAAACCGGAUCUAAUACCGGAUAAUAUAGGUAACCGCAUGGUUCAAGAGUGAAAUACGGGUUUGCUGUCACUUAUAGAUGGAUCCGCGCCGCGUUAGAUAGUUGGUAUGGUAACGCGUUACCAAGUCAACGAUGCGUAGCCGACCUGAGAGAGUGGUAGGCCACAUUGGAAGUGAGACAGGCUCCAGAGUAUUGCGAGAGGGCGCAGUAGGGUAUCUUACGCAGCGGUGGGAAGCCUGGCGGAGCGACGCCGAGCGUGAGAUGGAGGUGUUGGGAUCGUGAUGCCCUGCUACUAGGGAAGAACAAAUGUGUAAGUAAACAAGCACGUCUUGACGGUAGCUAAUGAGAAAGCCACGGCUAACUACGUG
rnacentral:rRNA from 1 species